CCUGGCUCAGGAUGAACGCUAGCUACAGGCUUAACACAUGCAAGUCGAGGGGCAGCAUGGUCUUAGCUUGCUAAGGCCGAUGGCGACCGGCGCACGGGUGAGUAACACGUAUCCAACCUGCCGUCUACUCUUGGACAGCCUUCUGAAAGGAAGAUUAAUACAAGAUGGCAUCAUGAGUCCGCAUGUUCACAUGAUUAAAGGUAUUCCGGUAGACGAUGGGGAUGCGUUCCAUUAGAUAGUAGGCGGGGUAACGGCCCACCUAGUCUUCGAUGGAUAGGGGUUCUGAGAGGAAGGUCCCCCACAUUGGAACUGAGACACGGUCCAAACUCCUACGGGAGGCAGCAGUGAGGAAUAUUGGUCAAUGGGCGAGAGCCUGAACCAGCCAAGUAGCGUGAAGGAUGACUGCCCUAUGGGUUGUAAACUUCUUUUAUAAAGGAAUAAAGUCGGGUAUGCAUACCCGUUUGCAUGUACUUUAUGAAUAAGGAUCGGCUAACUCCGUGCCAGCAGCCGCGGUAAUACGGAGGAUCCGAGCGUUAUCCGGAUUUAUUGGGUUUAAAGGGAGCGUAGAUGGAUGUUUAAGUCAGUUGUGAAAGUUUGCGGCUCAACCGUAAAAUUGCAGUUGAUACUGGAUAUCUUGAGUGCAGUUGAGGCAGGCGGAAUUCGUGGUGUAGCGGUGAAAUGCUUAGAUAUCACGAAGAACUCCGAUUGCGAAGGCAGCCUGCUAAGCUGCAACUGACAUUGAGGCUCGAAAGUGUGGGUAUCAAACAGGAUUAGAUACCCUGGUAGUCCACACGGUAAACGAUGAAUACUCGCUGUUUGCGAUAUACAGCAAGCGGCCAAGCGAAAGCGUUAAGUAUUCCACCUGGGGAGUACGCCGGCAACGGUGAAACUCAAAGGAAUUGACGGGGGCCCGCACAAGCGGAGGAACAUGUGGUUUAAUUCGAUGAUACGCGAGGAACCUUACCCGGGCUUAAAUUGCAGAUGAAUUACGGUGAAAGCCGUAAGCCGCAAGGCAUCUGUGAAGGUGCUGCAUGGUUGUCGUCAGCUCGUGCCGUGAGGUGUCGGCUUAAGUGCCAUAACGAGCGCAACCCUUGUUGUCAGUUACUAACAGGUUCCGCUGAGGACUCUGACAAGACUGCCAUCGUAAGAUGUGAGGAAGGUGGGGAUGACGUCAAAUCAGCACGGCCCUUACGUCCGGGGCUACACACGUGUUACAAUGGGGGGUACAGAGGGCCGCUACCACGCGAGUGGAUGCCAAUCCCCAAAACCUCUCUCAGUUCGGACUGGAGUCUGCAACCCGACUCCACGAAGCUGGAUUCGCUAGUAAUCGCGCAUCAGCCACGGCGCGGUGAAUACGUUCCCGGGCCUUGUACACACCGCCC
rnacentral:rRNA from 1 species